GUGUAUGGUAAAUUUUGUCAUUUACCUGUGGCGCUAGAGCAUAGAGCUUAUUGGGUCAUUUGUGCCUUGAAUUUUGACAUGAAAACAGCGGGUGAGAAAAGAUUGCUACAACUAAAAGAGCUUGACAAGUUGAUAUUAGAUGCCUAUGAAAAUGCUCGUAUUUACAAGGAAAGAACAAAUGUUUGGCAUGAUAGGCACGUUAAAAGAAAGGAAUUUAAAGAAUGUGAUUCAGUUUUACUGUUUAAUUCUAGGUUGAAAUUGUUUUCUAGAAAACUUAAGUCAACAUGGAUUGGUCCUUAUAGAGUUUAUAAAAUUUUUACACAUGGAGCAAUUGAGAUUUGGAAUGAAAAAUCUGAGACUUUUAAGGUAAAUGGUCAUAGAUUGAAGUAUUAUGUUACAUAAGAACCAAUUGAGGGAGCUAAUUUUUGCAACCUUUUGGAUCCCACACCUCAUAGUAAUGAGUCAAGGGUUAAGCAAAUGACCAUAAACUAACGCUUUUAGAAGGACCCCAAAUUCUUUGCCUUAACUUUAUUUCAAUUAUUUUUAAUUUGGUUUGUUUUAUUUUGCUUUGUUUUAUUUUGUUUUGCUCUGUUUCACCCCUAGCUAAAAGUGUUGAUAUUGUUCAAUGAAAAUCUUUUCUGUUGUUGCUAAUUCAUAUCAAUAGGCAAUACUCCACAAGACAAGUAAUCAACCAAAGCAGCAUAUUAUGGCAACUUAGCAGUGAUUGAAAAGAGCUGUUCAUCUAAGAAAAAUUCAUCAAUUGGAACCUCAUCCAACUUUUCAUUGUCAACCUUCAACCUGCUCAAAUUGUCUGCAACUACGUUUUCUGUUCCUUUUUAUCUGUAAUUUCCAAAUCAAAUUCUCGUAACAAUAGAAUCAUUCUAAUCAGUCUAGGCUUAGCUUCCU
rnacentral:misc_RNA from 1 species